UCUAAGACUCUCAGCCUUACAUAUAACUUGUCAUGCCCUGCCCUCUCAGACUUAAUUGUGCUGACUGCACUUGCCAGUUUCAAUGACUUGAUAGCCAAGCCCAAGUUUCAACAACUUCCAAUUUUCAGCACUUUAAAAAGUUCCUUGCCACUUUGGUUUUUUAGCUUUUUGACUCUUUCUAAUGGGAGAACCUUACAACAGUGAUGCUGCUGCAUUCAGUGCAUCAGUAUCAGCAUCCUGCCAAGGUUGCU
rnacentral:lncRNA from 1 species